CAGCGGCUGCCACGGCACCUCGCCGCCGACUACACAAGCCGGAGCUUUCUUCACUACAACCACAACCCAAUGAUGCUCAACUCUCACUUUCUUUUAUAUUUGACUAAUUUCAUUGACUCGUCUAAUUUAAAUCCUUCACAAAACCACUCCCGAAACAUAUAGCAAGCAACACCCAAUAUUAUUAAGCACCCACAAUAAAUAGAUACAGUUAGUACGCAACAAAACUACUCUGCAUGGAAGAGAAAUGUUUUGGAGGAUGUGUGACGUUUCAAUGAAUAAUAUUAAGAUCGGCAAAUAUCUCAAAAACGAUACCUUUAGGCUGAAUAUAGUGUUUAAUUAAAUUCGACUAAUCUAUGCUUUUGUUCUAAGUGUGAUGUUUAUAAAUUUUGAAGUAAAUAGAUACAAAGCGUAAUUACCGAC